AUCUCAUUAAGUUGCUUAGUGCCUCACUAAGUGGCUGCGACUGGCUUAGAACUUGAGAUCCUCCUGCCUCAGCCUUCCAAGCCACUGGGAUUAUAGGUCUGUGCCACUUCACCCAGCUCAAGUUCAUUUUUGUAUGUGAUAUAAGAUUUGUGCCUAGUUUUAUUCUUUCGCAAAUGAAUGUUCAGUUUUCCUAGUACCAUUUGUUUAAAAUAUCAUCCUUUCUCAAACAUGUAUUUUUGGUACCUUUGUUAAAAAUCUGUUGUGGAUUUAUUUCUGGGUUCUCUACUCUGAAGCAUUGGUGUACAUGUCUCUUUUUAUGCCAGUAUCACACUAUUAUGAUGGCAGUAAAAUAGUAUGUUUUGAAGUCAAAAUUUGCUCAUUAUUACUUUGGCAAUUCUGGGGUUUUUGUGGUUCCAUAAAAAUUUAAGGAGUAUCAGGCACAGUUUCAUACACCUGUAAUCCCAGCGGCUCUGGAGGCUGAGGCAGGAGGAUCCGAAGUUCAAAGCUAGCCUCAGAAACUUAGGAAGCCCUAUACAACUUAUCAAGACCCUGUCUCUAAAUAAGAUAUUAAAAGGGAUGGGGAUGUGGCUCAGUGGUUAAGCACCCCUGGGUUCAAUCCCUGGUCCCACCUCCCAAAUUUAAGGAGUGGUUUCUUUUUAUUUUUCUGAAGAAUGUCAUGGGUAUUUUAAGAGGGAUUGCAUUGAAUCUGUAAAUCACUUUGGGUAGCGUGGACUUUGUAACAAAAUAAAUACUUCCAGUCUGUGAACAUUAAAUGUCUUUUCAUUUUAUGUGUGUGUUCUCUUCAAUUUCUUGUAGUAGUAUUUUAUGCUUUCCAUUACAUAGAGUUCUUUCACCUCCUUGCUUAAAUUUAUUUUCAGGUGUUUUAUUCUUUUUGUAGCUGUCAUAAAUAGGACUGAUUUUUUUUUUUGCUACUCCAUUUGUGUGUGUGUGUGUGUGUGUACACACACACACACACACACACUUUUUGUUUGCAAAGGUUCUGCUGAUAAAUCUGCGUUUAAUUGAAUGGAGAUUCCAUUAUAUAUGACUUGAUAUUUUUCUCUUAAUGCUUUUAGAAAUCUCUUUGUUGUUGACUUUUGAUAGCUUGCUUAUAAUAUACCUUGAAGAGGAUCCCCUUUGGUUGAGUUUAUAAUUGGGAUCCUUUGAGCUUUGUGAGCCUGAAUGUGCAUAUCUCUCCCAAGAAUUGGGCAGUAU
rnacentral:lncRNA from 1 species